rnacentral:rRNA from 1 species
UACGUAGGGGGCAAGCGUUGUCCGGAAUUAUUGGGCGUAAAGAGCUUGUAGGCGGUUUGUCGCGUCUGCUGUGAAAUCUCAAGGCUCAACCUUGAGCUUGCAGUGGGUACGGGCAGACUAGAGUGUGGUAGGGGAGACUGGAAUUCCUGGUGUAGCGGUGAAAUGCGCAGAUAUCCGGAGGAAUACCAAAGGCGAAGGCAGUGUCCUGGCUGGCAACUGACGCUGAGGCGCGAAAGCUAGGGGAGCGAACAGG